rnacentral:rRNA from 1 species
UACGAAGGGGGCUAGCGUUGCUCGGAAUCACUGGGCUUAAAGGGUGCGUAGGCGGGGUUGUAAGUCUGUGGUGAAAUCUGUCGGCUCAACCGACAAAUGGCCGUGGAUACUGCGACCCUCGAGGGGUGUAGGGGCAUGCGGAACUUCGGGUGGAGCGGUGAAAUGCGUAGAGAUCCGAAGGAACGCCGGUGGCGAAAGCGGCGUGCUGGACACCUUCUGACGCUGAGGCGCGAAAGCCAGGGGAGCAAACGGG